UACGUAGGGUGCAAGCGUUGUCCGGAAUUAUUGGGCGUAAAGAGCUCGUAGGCGGUUUGUCGCGUCUGCUGUGAAAACUCAGGGCUUAACCCUGAGCCUGCAGUGGGUACGGGGCAGACUAGAGUGUGGUAGGGGAGAUCGGAAUUCCUGGUGUAGCGGUGGAAUGCGCAGAUAUCAGGAGGAACACCAAUGGCGAAGGCAGCUCGCUGGAACGGUACUGACGCUGAGGCGCGAAAGCGUGGGGAGCGAACAGG
rnacentral:rRNA from 1 species